rnacentral:rRNA from 1 species
GAUGAACGCUGGCGGCGUGCUUAACACAUGCAAGUCGAACGGAAAGGCUCCUGCUUGCAGGGGUACUCGAGUGGCGAACGGGUGAGUAACACGUGGGUGAUCUGCCCUGCACUUCGGGAUAAGCCUGGGAAACUGGGUCUAAUACCGGAUAGGACGAUGGUUUGGAUGCCAUUUUGGAAAGUUUUUCGGUGGGGGAUGAGCUCGCGGCCUAUCAGCUUGUUGGUGGGGUAAUGGCCUACCAAGGCGACGACGGGCAGCCGGCCUGGGAGGGUGGGGGGACACAUUAGAAUGGAAAUGCGGCCCGGACCCCACCGGGAGGGGGGGGUGGGGAGUAGUGCACAAUGGGAGGAAGCCUAAUGCGACGACGCCGCGUGGGGGGAGAGAGCCUUCGGUUUGAAAAGUCCUUUCGCUAGGGACGAAGCGAAAGUGACGGUACCUGAAGAAGAAGCCCCGGCUAACUACGUG